rnacentral:rRNA from 1 species
GCCAGCAGCCAUAUCACCCUGCAACUCACAACUGGCAACCCAGCAGGUGUGAGCCUGGUCAGUACCUGGAUGGGAGACCUCCUGGUAAAAACUAAGGCUGCUGCUGGAA